ACAGUAUACACUCGAAUUUGGAUUAAAACAGCGUUUUUAUAAAGUAUGCAACAACCGAUGGAGGAAUGAAACACAUGAUUAGGAACACACGGGGGGCUACUGUAAGGUAAUGAUGUCAGUUUUAUAUCUGUUU